UGCGGCCGCCCGGGCGGGCGGGCGGGAGCAGGGCCGCCCUCCCUCCUCCCCGCACCCCUCGCGCGGCGCCCCCUUACUCGAUGAAGAAGACGCGCCCGUCCCUGCAGACGCCGUAGGACCAGUGCUCAGAUAACCAAAAUAAAUAAUCAGAAGAAAGUAGGAGGCAGGAAAAACAGCAUCAUUGGGAAGAGAUAGAGGGCUUUGCUCAAUUUCAUACCAGUUUCAGACAACAUGCAGGCUCUGGUUCCAGUUUUCCCUGGUUGAUCUCAGCCACUUUUCGAUUACAUAUCAUUCAUUGCUCUCUAAAGGCACCGUGUGGAAGAAACUAUUUGAGGUAAAAUUAGGAGUUUGAGGCACAAUAUCAGGAACUCAGCUAAAGGUAGUGAAAUAUGUUCUUCAACAAUAUUAAGGGUCUAAUAAAAGCUGUGAGAUUUUAUGCUUCCUUUAUUGAUAACUGGGUAAUUCAAGGAGACAUGCUGAGAUCCCUGAAUACUGCAAGUUUGAAUCUAAAUAUGGCAGCUUUAUAGGAAUGUGUUACUAAUGUUGCUUGCUUUGUCUGCAUCCCCUGGGAACACUUUGGAUGAAUUAAUUAAUUUUUUUUCUGCCUUGGGAGAGCAGUGGUAUAUAUUUUAAAGUAUGUCAAAAUCUGUAUCUACACUUUCAUAGAAACAGAAUCACAGAAUGGUUUGGUUUGGAAGGGACCUUAAAGAUCAUCUAGUUCCAGCCUUCCCAUCAU